GACGAACGCUGGCGGCGUGCCUAAUACAUGCAAGUUGAGCGCUGAAGGUUGGUCCUUGUACCAACUGGAUGAGCAGCGCACGGGUGAGUAACGCGUGGGGAAUCUGCCUUUGAGCGGGGGACAACAUUUGGAAACGAAUGCUAAUACCGCAUAAAAACUUUAAACACAAGUUUUAAGUUUGAAAGAUGCAAUUGCAUCACUCAAAGAUGAUCUCGCGUUGUAUUAGCUAGUUGGUGAGGUAAAGGCUCACCAAGGCGAUGAUACAUAGCCGACCUGGGAGGGUGAUCGGCCACAAUGGGACUGAGACACGGCCCAAACUCCUACGGGAGGCAGCAGGAGGGGAUCUUCGGCAAUGGAGGGAAGUCUGACCGAGCAACGCCGCGUGAGGGGAGAAGGGUUUCGGAUCGUAAAACUCUGUUGGUAGGGAAGAACGUUGGUGAGAGUGAAAAGCUCAUCAAGUGACGGUAACUACACAGAAAGGGACGGCUAACUACGUG
rnacentral:rRNA from 1 species